UACGUAGGGGGCGAGCGUUGUCCGGAGUCACUGGGCGUAAAGGGCGCGCAGGCGGUCUGGCAAGUUUGGAGUGACAGUGCUCGGCUUAACUGAGCAAGGCCUUCGAAAACUGCUAGACUUGAGCACUCAAGAGGGACAUAGAAUUCCGGGUGGAGUGGUGAAAUGCGUAGAUAUCCGGAGGAAUACCAAAGGCGAAGGCAGUGUCCUGGGGAGUGUCUGACGCUCAGGCGCGAAAGCUAGGGGAGCGAACAGG
rnacentral:rRNA from 1 species